UACGAAGGGGGCUAGCGUUGCUCGGAAUCACUGGGCGUAAAGCGCACGUAGGCGGAUUGCUAAGUCAGGGGUGAAAUCCUGGAGCUCAACUCCAGAACUGCCUUUGAUACUGGCGAUCUCGAGUCCGGGAGAGGUGAGUGGAACUGCGAGUGUAGAGGUGAAAUUCGUAGAUAUUCGCAAGAACACCAGUGGCGAAGGCGGCUCUCUGGGACGGUACUGACGCUGAGACGCGAAAGCGUGGGGAGCGAACAGG
rnacentral:rRNA from 1 species